GGAGAAGUGGCCGAGUUGGUUUAAGGCGUUAGUUUCGAAAACUAAUAUACGAAUAAAUUUCGUAUCGGGGGUUCAAAUCCCCCUUUCUCCG
rnacentral:tRNA from 1 species